GCAAUGUUAACCUCCAGCUUGGUAAGGCUGGCAAGGAGGACCAGCUCCAAGGCGUAGUUAUAAGUCUAGCUCGACAUGUGGUUGUAAAUGUUGAGUAAAACGUUUUAAGAUUUGGGAGAACCUUAAAACAAAAUGACUAUGAACGAGAUAUCUCACCACACGAGAACGUCUUCCUCUAUGACGCCGUUCUCUACCAUGUCCCUCCAUCACCAUCAGCUUGAAUAGGCACACGAUCUAGACCCCAACAAGCAUGAGGCUACAUGUUCAGAUGUUCUUGGUCAAUCAUAAUAAAAACUGACAAUAUGAUAAUAAAACACUAACUAUCACUUUGUGAGAUGAAAACGGUAUGACCUUGAGGGAAUGAUUGGUUAAAACACAAGUGUUGUAACAUCUAUAGAAAAUGUAGCAAAACAUCACGUCCUCGUCAUAGCAAGCUAUUAGGGUCGGGUUUUGUCAGCA